GACGAACGCUGGCGGCGUGCCUAAUACAUGCAAGUAGAACGAGUUUCGAACGGGUGAGUAACGCGUAUGUAACUGCCUCAUAGCGGGGGGUAAAUAUUGGAAACGAUAGCUUAUACCGCAUACUGUGAGACGGACCUGCGUUGUAUUAGCGAGUUGGUGAGGUAAAGGCUCACCAAGGCGACGAUACAUAGCCGAGCUGGGAGGGUGAUCCGCCAAACCGGGACUGGGGCACGGGCCAGAAUCCUUCGGUAGGGAGCAGUAGGGGAACUUCGGCAAUGGGCGGAAGUCUGACCAAGCAACGCCGCGUGAGUGAAGAAGGUUUUCGGAUCGUAAAGCUCUGUUGUUAGAGAAGCGGUACCCACCCAGAAAGGGACGGCUAACUACGUGCCAGCAGCCGCGGUAAUUC
rnacentral:rRNA from 1 species